GAUGAACGCUGGCGGCGUGCCUAAUACAUGCAAGUCGAGCGAACGGAUGAGAAGCUUGCUUCUCUGAUGUUAGCGGCGGACGGGUGAGUAACACGUGGGUAACCUACCUAUAAGACUGGGAUAACUUCGGGAAACCGGAGCUAAUACCGGAUAAUAUUUUGAACCGCAUGGUUCGAUAGUGAAAGACGGUCUUGCUGUCACUUAUAGAUGGAUCCGCGCUGCAUUAGCUAGUUGGUAAGGUAACGGCUUACCAAGGCGACGAUACGUAGCCGACCUGAGAGGGUGAUCGGCCACACUGGAACUGAGACACGGUCCAGACUCCUACGGGAGGCAGCAGUAGGGAAUCUUCCGCAAUGGGCGAAAGCCUGACGGAGCAACGCCGCGUGAGUGAUGAAGGUCUUCGGAUCGUAAAACUCUGUUAUUAGGGAAGAACAUACGUGUAAGUAACUGUGCACGUCUUGACGGUACCUAAUCAGAAAGCCACGGCUAACUACGUG
rnacentral:rRNA from 1 species